GACGAACGCUGGCGGCGCGCCUAACACAUGCAAGUCGAACGAGCGAGAGAGAGCUUGCUUUCUCGAGCGAGUGGCGAACGGGUGAGUAACGCGUGAGGAACCUGCCUCAAAGAGGGGGACAACAGUUGGAAACGACUGCUAAUACCGCAUAAGCCCACGGGUCGGCAUCGACCAGAGGGAAAAGGAGCAAUCCGCUUUGAGAUGGCCUCGCGUCCGAUUAGCUAGUUGGUGAGGUAACGGCCCACCAAGGCAACGAUCGGUAGCCGGACUGAGAGGUUGAACGGCCACAUUGGGACUGAGACACGGCCCAGACUCCUACGGGAGGCAGCAGUGGGGAAUAUUGCACAAUGGGGGAAACCCUGAUGCAGCGACGCCGCGUGGAGGAAGAAGGUCUUCGGAUUGUAAACUCCUGUUGUUGGGGAAGAUAAUGACGGUACCCAACAAGGAAGGGACGGCUAACUACGU
rnacentral:rRNA from 1 species